GUCUUGCUUUGGCAGGACAUAUACUAACAUUGGGACAAUAUGGAGAAGUUAGUAUGGCAUCUGCCCAAGAAUGAGAGGUAAAUUUUUGAAGAGUUCCAUAUUAAA
ensembl:snRNA U6 U6 spliceosomal RNA